GACGAACGCUGGCGGCGUGCUUAACACAUGCAAGUCGAGCGGUAAGGCCUCUUCGGGGGUACACGAGCGGCGAACGGGUGAGUAACACGUGGGUGACCUGCCCUCCAGCUCUGGGAGUAAGCCUGGGAAACGUAGGGUCGUAAUACCGGAUAUGACCUUGCCUCGCAUGGGGUGGGGUGGAAAGCCUGGUCUUAAUUGAUUCGGCGGCUGGGGAUGGGGCCCGCGGCCUAUCAGCUUGNGGUGGGGUGAUGGCCUACCAAGGCGACGACGGGUAGCCGGCCUGAGAGGGCGACCGGCCACACUGGGACUGAGACACGGCCCAGACUCCUACGGGAGGCAGCAGUGGGGAAUAGUUG
rnacentral:rRNA from 1 species